rnacentral:lncRNA from 1 species
AAUUAGUAUGUCUUUGUGCUUAGUUAGUAGUUACAAUUUCUGCAUUUACUAUCAAAUUCAAGACUUUCUAGUCUUGAAACCUUUUGUGUCAACUAGUCAUUGACUUAUUACUAUUAUUUACUAUAAAAGAGAAAAAGACAAAAAUAGCACUAAAUCAAGUUUUUGUUCCCAAACUAGCAUUCAAGGUCAAAAGUCACAAAAAUAGCACUUAAUGUUUUAUCAAAAAUCACAAACUUAGGAGUUAGAGUUAAAGGGUGGGGUUUAGGAUUUAGGGUUUAGAGUUUAGAGUUUAGGGUUUAGGGUUUAGAGUUUAGGGUUUAAGGUUUAGGGUUUAGGGUUUAGGAUUUAGGGUUUAGAGUUUAGGGUUUAGGGUUUAGGGUUUAGGGUUUAGGGUUUAGGAUUUAGGGUUUAGAGUUUAGGGUUUAGGGUUUAGGGUUUAGGGUUUAGAGUUUAGGGUUUAGGGUUUAGAGUUGAGAAAUGAGGUUUUGGGGAUAAGAUUUCAAAUUUUGAAAAAUAAAAAAAUUAAAAUUUUCAAAGGGUAAACUUAGAAAGGUGCUAUUUUGGUCAUUUUAGUUUUUGAGUGCUAUUUUUGUGAUAUAAACUUAGAAAGAUGCUAUUUUGGAGAUUUGCCCUAAAAUAAUAGCUAAUUAUAAUUUCAUUCAUAUAACUACAAAGUACAAACCCUAAAACUAUAUGCUAUCUUUAAUAACCGCUUGUGAUAACGGCAAGUUGGUGUAUCAACUAUGGAUUCAAGUGGCUUCUCAAACUUGAUGUCGAUAGACUUUGAGUCUCAAGGAGUUGUUGAUGCUGCAAAUGCUGGACAAGAAUGUACCAGAUGUGAUGGAUCU